UAAAGCAUGGAUCGACUUUGUCGGGUUCACCGUCACAAUACGCUUCUUCCCGUAAGUUUACGCUUUCACUUGGAAUUUAAAACAUAUCCGCGAGGUGGUACUAAUAAAAUUUGGUACGUCGUCGUUCCCGUUCGCUCGUCCAAAAAUCCCCAUCACGAUCUGAAAAUCCCCAUUGCCGUGAGGCUCCACCUAACCCACCUCCAUCCCCUGGCUUCGGCGCGCCUCCCGCCGACGGCCCUCCCAGCCCCAACGCGCCUCACGUCAUCGUCGCCCCGGCACCGGCCCCGGCAUGCCUCCCACCACCGGCGCCCAUCCCCCGACGUGCCUCUCGCCGCCGUCGCCCCGGCCCCGACGCACCUCUCUCCAUCCCCAGAUCGCCUCCCACUCCGCCCUCCAUCCCCAGCACGCCCCCACCAUCGGACCUCGGCUGGCGACCGCAUCCCCUGGCUCGGCUGCACGUGACCGGGAUCCCCCAUCUCCCAGGAAACCUCGCUGGUGCACGCCACCUCCCUCCUCCUAAGGUUGGGAGCGGUGUGAACUUUGAACGGAUCAGUGGUUGGACCAUCAGCAGUUAACUGCACCAACGCGACUGACGCCACCUCGCACGCCUUCGUCUUCGUCGACGGCAGUCAGCACCUCCAACGCAAAUCGAUUCAGCGCCGUCUGCUGCUGCCACGGGGCCUAGUGCACCUCCCGUCCUCUGCUUUUCUCCGUGCGGAACUGUCUGUCUCGUGUCGCUGCUUGCACCUGCUACUGCUGGGAAUACGCUGUCCCGCGACGCCCUGUACUCAAUCUGUACCCGUGCUCUCUCUGGUCUCACGAACCAUCCCUACGGCCGCAAAGCUUCUCUUAGACCGGCUGCCAUGCAUCAAACUGAACUGCUGAGUUCAUUCCCCCAAAGUCCUGCAGAGCUUAUAGUAAAGAGGUGUACCCCGAUCUCCUCCGUUACUUAACAAUAUGGUGUGCUUUCUGAUGGAACGGACUCGUAGUAAACUAGGCAAAAAAAUCUCAUGUUUAUGUGGAGACAAUUAGUGGCCUUAAUCACCCUAUCGGUGUAGCAGCCGCUAGCUUCAAAACAUAUUGAUUUAAGC